UGGGCACAAAAAAGAGUUGGACUGUAGCAUCAGUGGACUGUACAACAUAGUACCACCAGCAGGUUAUAGCUUCAUUGGGUCGUAGCAUAGGAAUGAAUGUUUUUGUAAUUUUUUUAUUUUUCUGUGUAUUUGAUGGGCUUGUGUCAGCCCAAUGUCACUUAGUUUUUUUUUUUAUUUUUCUGGUUUGUAAAGGGCCUCUUAUAAAGUCCAAGUUUGGAAGAGUCCUCGGUGCUCUUUCCAUUCUUGGCAACCUUUCUUGAUUGCUUUAUUUUAAUUUUAGCAUAGCUAAACAUAGGGGUAGACUUU
rnacentral:lncRNA from 1 species